UACGGGGGGAGCAAGCGUUGUUCGGAUUUACUGGGCGUAAAGGGCGCGUAGGCGGCCACCGCAAGUCGACUGUGAAAUCUCCGGGCUUAACCCGGAAAGGUCAGCCGAUACUGCGGGGCUAGAGUGCAGAAGGGGGCAACUGGAAUUCUCGGUGUAGCGGUGAAAUGCGUAGAUAUCGAGAGGAACACCUGCGGCGAAGGCGGGUUGCUGGGCUGACACUGACGCUGAUGCGCGAAAGCUAGGGGAGCGAACGGG
rnacentral:rRNA from 1 species